rnacentral:ncRNA from 1 species
GUGUUGUAUGAAAGGAGAGAAGGUUAGCACUCCCCUUGAUGAAGAGGCCCUUGUUGCCUAUACAACACACAUACGGUUUAGGCACUGCCACCUACUUAGUGGCAUCUAACCAUGUUUU